GGAGUUGUGGCUCAGUGGUACAGUGCUCGCCUAGCAUGUGUGAGGCACUGGAUUCAAUCCUCAGCACCA
rnacentral:tRNA from 1 species